rnacentral:rRNA from 1 species
GACGAACGCUGGCGGCGUGCUUAACACAUGCCAGUCGAACGGAAAAGCCCUGCUUUUGUGGGGUGCUCGAGUGGCGAACGGGUGAGUAACACGUGAGUAACCUGCCCUUGACUUUGGGAUAACUUCAGGAAACUGGGGCUAAUACCGGAUAGGAGCUCCUGCUGCAUGGUGGGGGUUGGAAAGUUUCGGCGGUUGGGGAUGGACUCGCGGCUUAUCAGCUUGUUGGUGGGGUAGUGGCUUACCAAGGCUUUGACGGGUAGCCGGCCUGAGAGGGUGACCGGCCACAUUGGGACUGAGAUACGGCCCAGACUCCUACGGGAGGCAGCAGUGGGGAAUAUUGCACAAUGGGCGGAAGCCUGAUGCAGCAACGCCGCGUGCGGGAUGACGGCCUUCGGGUUGUAAACCGCUUUCGCCUGUGACGAAGCGUGAGUGACGGUAAUGGGUAAAGAAGCACCGGCUAACUACGUG